AUUAUAGCUUCAAAAGAUUUUGAGACUGGACAGGACUUUGAUGAUAAACUCCUUCCAGUCCUUCUGGAUCUCCUGGCAUGCUUCUCUCCUGAAAUAUCUGGAAGGCUCUUCUGGGCUAAGUAAGGCUUAUCGGGAUGAUUUUGAUUUAGUUAUUUGAAACCAAAACGGCAGUUUGUGGAGCCUGGUCUGGAGCUGUGGAGCAGUAAUAUAUCAGAGAUCAGACUUAGGUCCCAGUGGGAUUAUUCAUCAGGAUUUAUUUGCCUGGAAGUACAAGCAGAAACCAAAUGGUCAGAUUUUUUUUGACGACUGUGUGCAGGAACAAGAUUUGCUAAAUCCCUUCAUUUUUAUUUAUAUAAAUAUCGGCAUUCAGUGAGCAUCAGUUAUCCCAGCAUUGAGAGGUAAGGAAAACUCAGGGAGAAUCUUGUGAAUCUCAGCUUAGUGCCAGGCUUGUUUGUAUCUCUGGGGAUAAGUCUGCUGCCUCAACUUUAACCCUUGUCUGUUCUGAUAGGGGACAACACCCUCACAGUGGCUGUUUUGCAUAUGGAACCUCCCCUUAACUAACUCCCAUCUGAUAGCUUUAGCCUAGAAAGUAUAGUGGGAGGGGUCAGAUUCUUCCAGUGGGGCUUCUCUGACUGUAAAAUAUUAAGAUUAGUGUUGGAGGAGAAGGGCAAUUCAUUCCCUCCAAUGGAGCGCCUUCUUUAGGCUUCUUUAGCUUUUAGUGAUGUCUUUGGCAAAGACUACUUUUAAUUUGAAGAUGAUUCUUUUCCUCGCUCAGUAGAUGAAAUUAUAAUAUUACCAUAUGAGGCCGUUCCCUAUCAAACUUGUUUAUCUUGAU